rnacentral:rRNA from 1 species
GACGAACGCUGGCGGCGUGCCUAACACAUGCAAGUCGAGCGAGUGGAGUUCUUCGGAACAAAGCUAGCGGCGGACGGGUGAGUAACACGUGGGCAACCUGCCUCACAGAGGGGAAUAGCCUCCCGAAAGGGAGAUUAAUACCGCAUAAGAUUGUAGCUUCGCAUGAAGUAGCAAUUAAAGGAGCAAUCCGCUAUGAGAUGGGCCCGCGGCGCAUUAGCUAGUUGGUGAGGUAACGGCUCACCAAGGCGACGAUGCGUAGCCGACCUGAGAGGGUGAUCGGCCACAUUGGGACUGAGACACGGCCCAGACUCCUACGGGAGGCAGCAGUGGGGAAUAUUGCACAAUGGGGGAAACCCUGAUGCAGCAACGCCGCGUGAGUGAUGACGGCCUUCGGGUUGUAAAACUCUGUCUUCAGGGACGAUAAUGACGGUACCUGAGGAGGAAGCCACGGCUAACUACGUGCCAGCCGCCGCAGUAAUAC